UUGGGAUAGGGUUUUGGGGAGCUCCGCUAUGCUCUGCGGCACACCCUAGCAUCCGUGAAGACUAAACCAGGUUUGCACAGGAAUCCUCUCUCCGGCGCGCAAUGUCUGUCCUCCUUGCACAGGCACAGGCCCUCGAGCGCGCAGUAAUCGCGGUAGACCGAGGCGUUUUGCUUGAUCCCGAGCACGGCGUCGGACCACUCGCUGGAGAAGUAUCCGUCGGGAUCGUAACGCUGGCGGACCUCGAGGAAUUUGGCCAGGUUUGUGACUCGAGAGCCCAUGUCCUCGAACAUCGCGUUUUUGUUCUUCCCCCAGUGUGGCCUGCCUUUGUAUUUCUUGAGCAGCAUUUGCUCGAUCUCAUCCGUCGCGUCCUGGUCCAGCCGGGGCAUGUUUUGCCGGCGGUCUCUGAAGUAGAGCAGCUCGAAUGCAACUGAGUCCUCGGGCUCCGCGAGGUAGGCCGUGGAUCCUUUGAUGAAUCUGAGCUGUGCUCCGCCAUAGAUAUUUGCACCGCAGAGCUUGGUUGGGUCCAUUCCAUCGCGGAUCUUCUUUAUGUCUUGGAUGGCUUCGUUGAUCCUGGAGAGUGGGAUUGCUAGGGAUGUCUGGAAGUAGAAUUGUCCAGGAACGUCGGGGUCCCAGUAGCAUGUUAGCCUCUCCCCGGAUGCUGAUCGUGUGUUGUUUAGUGCAGUGUUUUGGCAGCCUCCAGCGGUUUGGAGCUGGUGAUUAAAUCCCACGACUGGAUAUCCGCGAAAGGUAUUGCUCCUGUCAUUCACCAGGCCAUCUCCGCUCGAGACUCGGUUCUCAACCCCGUUUAGUGAUUGUUGGCAGACGAAGGAAGCGUUCAUCUGGGACAUGAAGUUCUCCUCUACGUACAAGAAUCACAAUUUCAACGUAAGGUGAGAACUCUGAUUUUUAUGAGGUGUUGGAGCUUACCUCGGACUCUAGACUGUCUUACGUUUGUCUCUGGAGCAGGAUCAUUGCCAGCGUUCCUUCCCUCGCCAGGGGUACUUGCCGAGACCUUGUUGUCUACCCUCAGCAGGAUCUUCUUCUGAGAGAUGUAC
rnacentral:lncRNA from 1 species